AGACUACGAGAGGGAGAAGAGGAGGGCCCCGUUGAUAUGGUGAGCCUGAACCACAUGACCCACCAUGCCACUCUCUCCCUCGAAAGAUGGUCACCAGUACUUUCCCAACCAGCCCGCCCCUCUGAUAAGCAGCAGUGUGUGAGAGAACGGAGCGCCAGUACUCAGUCUGUGGAGGCCAUGCACAUGGUCUGUGACGAAGAGGAACCUGUGACCAGGCAACCAGAACAACAUGUUGCCCGGCAACCAUAACAAAGACCCUCUGAACAACCUGCCCGGCCCGCUUGGACAGAGCAGAUUGGGAGUUGCAGUGAAGUUCUGCCAAAGAUUUUCUACGAUGAGAUAAGAAUACCUAGACCUUACCUCUCGAACAAUUCUCUGAUAUCACAUCAAAAUGUUAAUUUGUUUUUAUGUGAGAUUAGAACCUUAAAUUAAAAUGUUUUAUUUUUCAAAGAAAAUGAAAAUUUGCCCUCACUCCUAA